AAACAUCCUAAAACAUCACAGCGUCGUCGUAUCGUAUGCCUUCUCCCUUAACAAAAUCUCCCUAAGAAAAUUUGGAGAAAAGGAAAAGAAAAAACAAACCCUGGAAGAGAAAACACAAUUACUUGCACUCUCUCUUCUUCUUCUGCAGUAAAACCCUAGCAAUCGAUCUCACCGUUUCCUCUUCCUUUCUAGAACCUUCUAUUCGAAUCCUCAGAUCCAUUUGCAAGGCUGGCGGGUAUUUGGGUCAAGUAAUGGCGGAUCCGCCAGGUAUCCGCCGCGACUUUCGAUUAUCCAUCAUAGGGUUAUCCCGUUUUCAAGAUUGUUUUCGCUGUUGUCAAGAAGAAGAGAACGAAGAAGAAGAAAAGUAAAGCAUGCUGAGCGUGGUGCGCGUGCACCUGCCCUCGGAAAUUCCUAUUGUAGGUUGCGAACUCACACCCUACGUCCUCCUUCGCCGUCCUGAUAAGACCAUCUCUACCGACGAUGUUUCCGAAAUCGCCCCUUUAGAUGGUCAUUUCCUUCGCUACAAAUGGUAUCGUGUACAGAGUGAUAAAAAAGUUGCUGUCUGUAGCAUACAUCCAUCAGAGCAAGCCACACUGCAAUGCCUAGGUUGUGUUAAAGCCAAAAUACCUCUUUCUAAGAGUUACCAUUGCACCACAAAGUGUUUUUCAGAUGCAUGGCAGCAUCAUCGUGUCUUACAUGAUCGUGCUGCAAGUGCUCUUAAUGAAAAUGGAAAUGAGGAGGAAGAGGUAUUUGGGCGCUUUAAUAGUACUGGGUCUGGGACAAUCAAUUCCAGCUUAUCUGCUUCUGCUUCAAGUGCUAGCUUGACAAAUGGGUCUGCAACAAAUUUGUAUCCAGCUGCUAUUACACAAAGAAGUGGUGAAACUUGGUUUGAAGUUGGACGAUCUAAGACUUAUACCCCUACCGCUGAUGAUGUUGGUCAUGUCCUUAAGUUUGAGUGUGUUGUAGUUGAUGCCGAGACGAAACUGCCUUUGGGGCCUGUUAACACUAUACUAACUUCACGUGUCAUUCCUGCUCCUUCACCUAUUCCACGCCGGCAGAUACGUGUUGAUGGAGUGGGGCAUUUAGAUGUUGAUGCGAGAAUGACAACUUCAGGAACUUUUACUGUUUUAUCCUACAAUAUAUUGUCUGAAGCAUAUGCCUCAAGUGACCUAUACAAUUACUGCCCUUCUUGGGCACUUUCUUGGCCAUAUCGCCGGCAAAAUUUGUUACGAGAAAUUGUUGGUUACCGUGCAGACAUUAUUUGUCUUCAGGAGGUUCAAAGCGAUCAUUAUGAUGAAUUUUUUUCUCCUGAACUGGACAAACAUGGCUAUUAUGGUCUUUACAAGAGAAAAACCAAUGAGGUGUACAGUAGCAACACAAAUACAAUUGAUGGUUGUGCAACAUUUUUCCGCAGAGACAGAUUUUCACAUGUGAAGAAAUAUGAGGUUGAAUUUAACAAGGCUGCACAGUCUUUGACAGAGGCUACAAUUCCAACCACUCAGAAAAAAAGUGCCUUGAACAGACUGGUUAAGGAUAAUGUUGCACUAAUUGUUGUUCUAGAAGCAAAAGUUAACAAUCAACCUUUUGAUAAUCCUGGGAAAAGGCAGCUUCUUUGUGUGGCAAACACACAUGUAAAUGUCCCCCAAGAUUUAAAGGAUGUGAAAAUCUGGCAGGUUCACACUCUCUUAAAAGGGUUGGAAAAAAUAGCUGCAAGCGCAGACAUUCCAAUGUUGGUUUGUGGAGAUUUUAAUUCAGUUCCGGGAAGUGCUCCUCAUGCACUUCUUGCAAUGGGGAAAGUAGACCCUUCACAUCCCGAUUUAGCAGUUGACCCACUUAACAUUUUACGUCCUCACAGCAAGUUGGUUCAUCAGUUACCACUGGUCAGUGCAUACUCAUCUUUUGCGAGAACAGUUAGCCUUGGAUAUGAUCAGCAUAAAAGGAGACUGGACAGUGGAACAAAUGAACCUUUAUUCACAAAUGUCACUAGAGAUUUUAUCGGCACUCUAGAUUAUAUAUUUUACACAGCGGAUUCUUUAGUUGUGGAGUCAUUAUUGGAGUUACUGGACGAGGAGAGUUUGAGGAAGGACACUGCACUUCCUUCACCUGAAUGGUCCUCAGAUCACAUAGCUCUCUUAGCUGAGUUCCGCUGCUGCAAGAAUAAAUCUAGGCGUUGACGUUUAAGGUCAGUUUCAGACAUACAUAAAGAAAAAGGCUCAAAGAAGCAUUUGGUUGGUGGAGUAAUUAGUCAGCUUAUGCAGGCACCAUGUAUUGAUCAUUGGAAUACCAUCAUUAGUAUUUUAAGGUACCUCAUAAAGGCUCCAGGACAAGGUUUGCUAUACGAAGAUAAAGAAAAUAUUCAGGGUACUAUUAUGCUAAUUGGGCAAGCUCCUCCAGUGACAAAUGCUCUACUAUAAGAUAUUGUGUCUUCCUCGGAGGAAAUAUUAUCUCAUAGAAAAGUAAAAAGCAAAAUGCAGUGGCCCGAUGUUGAAGCUAAAGAUCGAGCAAUGGUGUCUCUUACUUGUAAACUUAUAUGGUAGAAAUUUGUCAGCCCAACCCAGCUUACUUUUUGAUGAGUCAGAAAUUUUGUAAUCAGCUUGACCCACCACAAGUUCGUGGAUUAGUGAGUUGUCUCACUUAAGAAUAUUUUGUUCUUUCAAUUUAUUUUAUAUAUUUAGUGCAAUACAAUCAAGGCGGAU